UACGGAGGGUGCGAGCGUUAAUCGGAAUUACUGGGCGUAAAGCGCACGUAGGCGGCUUGGUAUGUCGGGUGUGAAAUCCCCGGGCUCAACCUGGGAACUGCAUCCGAAACUGCCUUGCUAGAGUAUGGGAGAGGGAAGUGGAAUUUCCGGUGUAGCGGUGAAAUGCGUAGAUAUCGGAAGGAACAUCAGUGGCGAAGGCGACUUCCUGGACCAAUACUGACGCUCAGGUGCGAAAGCGUGGGGAGCAAACAGG
rnacentral:rRNA from 1 species